rnacentral:rRNA from 1 species
ACAGAGGGGGCAAGCGUUAUUCGGAAUUAUUGGGCGUAAAGGGCGCGUAGGCGGCUUUUUAAGUGAGAUGUGUAAUCCCUGAGCUCAACUUGGGAACUGCAUCUCAUACUGGGAGGCUAGAGUACUGGAGAGGGUGGUAGAAUUCCACGUGUAGCGGUGAAAUGCGUAGAGAUGUGGAGGAAUACCAGUGGCGAAGGCGGCCACCUGGACAGUAACUGACGCUGAGGCGCGAAAGUGUGGGUAGCAAACAGGAUUAGAUACCCUGGUAGUCCACACUGUAAACGAUGAACACUUGGUGUGGAGGGAGUUGACCCCUUCCGUGCCGUAGCUAACGCGUUAAGUGUUCCGCCUGGGGAGUACGGUCGCAAGGCUG